CAGCAGCCACGGGAAUACGGAGGGUGCAAGCGUUAAUCGGAAUUACUGGGCGUAAAGCGUGCGUAGGCGGUUCGUUAAGUCUGUUGUGAAAGCCCCGGGCUCAACCUGGGAAUGGCAAUGGAUACUGGCGAGCUAGAGUGUGUCAGAGGAUGGUGGAAUUCCCGGUGUAGCGGUGAAAUGCAUAGAGAUCGGGAGGAACAUCAGUGGCGAAGGCGGCCAUCUGGGACAACACUGACGCUGAGGCACGAAAGCGUGGGGAGCAAACAGGAUUAGAUACCCCCGUAGUCCCUGUCUCUUAUAC
rnacentral:rRNA from 1 species